CCGUGCCAGCAGCCGCGGUAAGUACGGAGGGGUGCGAGCGUUAAUCGGAAGUUACUGGGCGUAAAGACGCAUGCAGGUGGUUUGUUAAGUUCAGAUGUGAAAGACCCGGGGCGUCAACCUCGGAAUAGCAUUUGUAAACUAGGCAGACUAGAGUACUGUAGAGGGGGGUAGGAAUUUCAGGUGUAGCGGUGAAAUGCGUAGAGAUCUGAAGGAAUACCGGUGGCGAAGGCGGCCCCCCUCGGACAGAUACUGACACUCAGAUGCGAAAGCGUGGGGAGCAAACAGGAUUAGAUACCCCUGGUAG
rnacentral:rRNA from 1 species